AACGCGAAGAACCUUACCUGGGCUCGAACGGCUUCCCAACGGCAGUGGAAACAUUGCUAUCCCUUAAAAGAGUGGAGUCGAGGUGCUGCAUGGCUGUCGUCAGCUCGUGUCGUGAGAUGUUGGGUUAAGUCCCGCAACGAGCGCAACCCUUAUCUUAUGUUGCCAGCGCGUUAUGGCGGGGACUCGUGAGAGACUGCCGGGGUCAACUCGGAGGAAGGUGGGGACGACGUCAAGUCAUCAUGCCCCUUAUGUCCGGGGCUUCACACAUGCUACAAUGGCCGGUACAGAGGGCUGCGAUACCGUGAGGUGGAGCGAAUCCCUUAAAGCUGGUCUCAGUUCGGAUCGGGGUCUGCAACUCGACCCCGUGAAGUUGGAGUCGCUAGUAAUCGCAGAUCAGCAACGCUGCGGUGAAUACGUUCCCGGGCCUUGUACACACCGACAUA
rnacentral:rRNA from 1 species